rnacentral:rRNA from 1 species
UGCCAGCAGCCGCGGUAAUACGGAGGGGGUUAGCGUUGUUCGGAAUUACUGGGCGUAAAGCGUACGUAGGCGGAUUAAUAAGUUAAAAGUCGAUGGUUAGAGCCUAACUCUUUCAUGCUUUUAAUACUGUCAGACUAGAGUAUAUUAGAGGAUAGUAGAAUUCACAGAGGAGGGGUAAAAUCCAGUAAUUUUGUGAGGAACACCAAAUGCGAAGGCAACUAUCUGGAAUAUUACUGACGCUGGAAGACGAAGGCAUAGGUAGCAAAUGGGAUUAGAUA